AUCACAUUUGGCCACCUGGCCCCCAAUUAUAGAUUUAUCUCAGAAAGAUGCAGAAAAUGUAGAAAAGGCCAUAAAAUCUCAGGCUUCUCAAUCUACGAGGAACAAAAUAGAAAUAACUUCUUCAAAGAGGAAAGACAAAUGCUGCUCCACAUUCCUGCCCAAUAUAUCAGAGAAAUGGACUUCACUAAUCUCCCAGGUAUGUCCCCCCCACUUAUGACCUCCCCCACACCAAGAAAGGAAGAAGAAAAAAUUCAAAUUUGUUGCUCAUAUUGGAAAGAAUAUGAAGAGAGAGAAGAAAGAAGACAGAGAGAAAACUCAUCAAAGUCUUGAAGAAUUUCAGACUCACUGGUUGGGAUGAUUGUCAAAUCAGACCCAGUGAAUUCACCAGCACAGACACUGAACUGAGCAAGCUCUUUUUUCCUCACUAUGCUUGACCCGCACUCUUGGCCAUGUAUUCCUCACACUGUUCUACUGCUGACCCUACUGCUGAGAUUCACAGGAAUUUAAUAACCAUAAUGACCUUCGGGAUCUGUUGCUAGAAUUAUUUGGUUCUUUAGAAGACAUCAUGCAGCCUUGUCAUCUUCAUGUUUCCUGUGCUCUACUUCAAGAUACACAUAUCUG
rnacentral:lncRNA from 1 species